UUCACAUAAUUAUACACUCUUCCAGAAUAUAUGUCACUUUUUAUUUAAAGCCUAACACAUCAAUGACGAAACAUAUGACGGCUCUUAGUCCCAAUUUAUAGCCAAAGUGACAUAUUUUCUGCAAGGGUGUAUUGUAAUUUAAAAUCCCACACAAACCCCUAACCCCUAAUCCUAAAUAUGAUCCCGCUUACCGGGACGUCUCGCUUACCGAUGAUCUCGCCGCCUAUCUAUUUUCCUAUAAAAUUUUGCAUUGUGUUCAUAUGAGAAAGCGAGCU